UACAGAGGUCUCAAGCGUUGUUCGGAAUCACUGGGCGUAAAAGGUGCGUAGGCCGCACGGUAAGUCAGAGGGUGAAAUCCCGGAGCUCAACUUCGGAAUUGCCUCCGAUACUGCCGUGCUUGAGGACUGGAGAGGAGAUUGGAAUUCACAGUGGAGCAGUGAAAAAUGCGUAGAUAUUGUGAGGGAACACUAGUGGCGAAGGCGAAUCUCUGGACAGUUUUCCUGACGCUGAGGCACGAAGGCCAGGGGGAGCAAACGGG
rnacentral:rRNA from 1 species